UAAUGAAAUAGAAAAAGAGGAUAUGCGUUAACAUAUCCUCUUUUGUAGAACCGUUUAAGACGGCAGCAAGUUUUUAUAGGUUAAAAA
rnacentral:sRNA from 1 species